UACGUAGGGUGCGAGCGUUGUCCGGAAUCAUUGGGCGUAAAGGGCUCGUAGGCGGUCCAUCGCGUCGGGAGUGAAACGCUGGGGCUUAACCCCAGUCCUGCUUUCGAUACGGGUGGACUAGAGGUAGGCAGGGGAGAAUGGAAUUCCUGGUGUAGCGGUGAAAUGCGCAGAUAUCAGGAGGAACACCGGUGGCGAAGGCGGUUCUCUGGGCCUAAUCUGACGCUGAGGAGCGAAAGCGUGGGGAUCAAACAGG
rnacentral:rRNA from 1 species